AUGACUGGCCAGGGGAAGGCUGAAGGAUACCUGAAUAAUUUCAUGAUAAUCAUCUGGAAGAUACCUGAUCUAGGAAGAGGAGGCAGGAAAAGAAAGAUUGCUGGACCAUGUUUGAAUGCAAUAGUAUGCCUGAGAAAAAAUCUGCCCACCUCCACUCUAAGGUGUUGUGUGUUAAAUAUUUCCACGGUGGCCAGGGCCCCACGCAAUCAGCAAGUGCUACCGUUCCCAUGCCUGGUAUCAGGGGACCGUGUAAACCUAUGGCUAGGGUCCCCCGCCUGGGCCCCAGGGUGGAGAUGCUCAAAGGAAUGCCAGUAAAGCAACCGGAGGAAGCUGCUGCACCAGCGAAGAGGGCCACAUACCACAGCAGAUCCCAGUCGGGGUCGUCCAGAAGCCUGCUGGCCUCCUAGAGAGGCUCCCUAGCAACCUGGAGUCAGCCUGCUCGGAACCUUUGACUUCACAGAAGCAUUUGGUGAGUGCUCAAGGGCUUUUUGUGCACCAGAGCCAGUAAAAUGCCAUGUUUGCCAGCAUGUGAAAUGCCCAGGGAUAUCAGAUACGUCUCAAUUUUUCAGAAAGUUUUUUGGAAAAAAUAAAAACUAAGCUAUAAGGGAAAUAUUUUAUUUUAUUCCUAUAAAUAUAGUACACUGCAUUGUGACUCGGCUAAAAAUAUAUAUGUGGGGUUUAAAAAAAAAAAAAAGUCUAUUAUCCCUAAAAACAAGAAUAAAAUCAUUAAGCUAAAAAGAAAUAUCUUGGUAUUUAUGAAUAUGAGUUGCAGUGAAAAAACACUUAAAUUCAUAACAUAGUGGAAUUAUUCAAAUUCUAUAUUUAUCUGUGUGGUCUCUGGUUUUCCUUUUUGUUUUGUUUUUUGGUAAGAGGAUGAAAAGCGCUCGCCUUUGCAGAAAUGUAUGUUGCCAUCCUCUGCCACUAGGGGGCAGCAUGCCCCAUUAUUUUACCUCUGUCUCAGCCUUCCAGCUGUCCCUAAUAGCAACGUGUUUAAGACUGACAAGAAAACUCGUGUAUAUAAUAAGCAAUUAGACAUUGUAUAAUGCCAUAUAUUUGAUGGAUAUGUUAUGUGUAUAGUAUUAUACAAUAUGCAAUAUAUCUCAUGUUGUAACAUAUACAUUAUUCAUAUAUAAAGUAUAAAAUUUUAUUUUGCAUAUAUAAUACAUCAUUUGGGAAAAGUGGGGAAUGUAUCCUAUACACCAGUAAACACAGCAAGCCUCACUGGAGCACAAAAAAAUCCAGUCAGAGUUCACCUGCUUCUAUUAAAAGAAUGAGGGCAGCUGUAUUUGAUGUUAAAGAAGGGAUUAGGCCUAUCAAGGUCUUCCCAGCAGAAAGUUCCAGAAGGUACGGAUCACCUAGAAGCCUGCAUGGUCACUGACCAGCUUGUGGAAGGAGAGGGAGGACGGGAGUCACGGGAUGUACAGACUCAGUAGCCAAGGAAUCUCAGAGAUGCCCAAUCUAACUCAGAAGCCAAGAGGCCAAGGGACAACAAAACCAAGAGGCCAGAGCACCGCAAGGACACAGGGAGCCCUGGAGCCUGAGGGAGAGUCCAGAGCUGCAGGCAAAGCCGGGUCAAGAGUCCAGGCUUAGAAACAGCCUCAAACCAGCACUCCAAAUAGCUCAGCGAGUCACAUAGUCAGAAUCUCAAAAAUGUGACUUUAAGUUCAUUUCCAAAAUAAGACAAGGAGUGGCAGAAGGGAGAUUCAAAUUCCAACCUGUUCAGACAUUCUGAAACAUAAAACCCUGAAUGUUUGGGGGCAAUUAAUCCACAAAACAUCUCAGUCCGCUUCUAACAUCUGCCUCUGGAGCAAGGAUGGAAAGCACUGGAAAUGAAGGGCUUUCCUGGAUCUGGGAAUCUGGGUGCACAGGCCAGUUCCCAACAUUCAUGUGAACAUCCCUUUUCUGCAGUCAGAACUAAAGCUGGCUUCUGCAUGAUCCACGUACAUGAGAUCUGCACACAUGAAAUGUCUUUGUGCUGCUUCUCAGCAUACAUCAUACUUUUCCCAUGAAACAUUUCAUUUAAGACCAAAAAAAAAAGACCUAUGAGAUAGGUAUUAAUAUCAUACCCACUGUACAGAUGAAGAAACAGACACUGAGAGCUUAAGCAACUUGCCCGAGCUCACAAUAGUGAGUGACGUGACGGUGCCAGGACUUAAAACAGAAAACUCUUUGUAUUAGUCCUUUUCAUACUGCUAUAAAGAACUUCCAGAGAAUGAGUAAUUUACAAAGGAAAGAGGUUUAAUUGACUCACCGUGCAGCAUGGCUGGGGAGGCCUCUGGAAAUUUACAAUCAUCGCAGAAGGCGAAGGGGAAGCAAGAUACCUUCUUCACAAGGUGGCAAGAAGGAGAAGUGCCAAAUGAAGGAGGAAGAGCCCCUGAUGAAACCACCAGAUCUCGUGAGAACUCACUCACUGUCACGAGAACAGCAUGGGGAAAACCACUCCAUGGUUCAAUUACCUCCACCUGGUCUCUCUCUUGACGUGUGAGGGUGACGGGGAUUACAAUUCAAGAUGAGAUUUGGGUGGGGACACAAAGCCUAACUGUAUCACUCUUCUUGCUUCAAAAUUGCCUGUUCUUUCUGCUACAUUUGCUGCCUCCAAAAAAAAGUAUUUAUCUGAGCCAGGAAGUGUAUAAAAAGGCAAGCUUCAAUGAGCACAAUAGAUUGGUACACAUCGGAGGCACUGGAACCAGAGCAACUCCAUCUUGAACAGUGGCUGGGUGAAAUGAGGCUGAGACCUGCUGGGCUGCAUUCCCAAGAGGUUAGGUAUUCUUAGUCACAGGACGAGAUAGGAGGUUGGGCCGGGCGCGGUGGCUCACGCCUGUAAUCCCAGCACUUGGGGAGGCCAAGGUGGGCGGAUCACGAGGUCAGGUGAUCAAGACCAUUCUGGCUAACACGGUGAAACCCCGUCUCUACUAAAAAUACCAAAAAUUAGCCAGGCAUGGUGGCGGGUGCCUGUAGUCCCAGCUACUAGGGAGGCUGAAGCAGGAGAAUGGCGUGAACCCAGGAGACAGAGCUUGCAGUGAGCCAAGAUCGCACCACUACACUCCAGUCUGGACAACAGUGCAAGACUCCGUCUCAAAAAAAAAAAAAAAAAGGAGGUUGGCAGGACCAUUAUCACAAGAUACAGGUCACAAAAACCCUACUGAUAAAACAGGAUGCAGUAAAGAAGCCAGACAAAACUUGCCAAAAUCAAGAUGGUGACAAAAGUGGCCUCUGGUCAUCAUCACUGCUCAUUGUACACUAAUUAUAAUGCAUUAGCAUGCUAAAAGACACUCCCACAAGCAGCAUGACAGUUUAUAAAUGCCAUG
ensembl:lncRNA